GCAAACUUGGUCAUUUAGAGGAAGUAAAAGUCGUAACAAGGUCUCCGUAGGUGAACCUGCGGAGGGAUCAUUACCGAGUGGAGGGCGCUCCGGCGCCCGACCUCCCAACCCUUUGAUUUGAUCAAGACCUCUUCUGCCUCGGGGGUGACCCGGCCUUUGCGCCGCGGUCCUCCCGGUGGUCACCAACUCCAACCCUGCAUCAAUUGUCGUCUGAGUGAAAAAGUUAAAUCUAAACAAAACUUUCAACAACGGAUCUCUUGGUUCUGGCAUCGAUGAAGAACGCAGC
rnacentral:misc_RNA from 1 species